CUUACAGCCACAAGCUACAAAGACACAGUAUUGAACCUGUUUGUCUGGAAUCUUUCAGGAAGUGGCAGGACGAGAGCACUGGAUCAAUAAUCUGCUGGGAACCAAAGAAGCAUCUCUUACUUGUGACCCUACUAGUUAUCGUAUAUAUUCUCAAGCUGGCAUCAAGUCAUCUGGAGGACGAUGAAGUUAGGCCUUUGUGAAGAUAUGUGCAAAACUUGAGCUGGUAAAAGAAUGACUCAGAGGCUCAGGGAGGAUUUCCAAGAGCCCAGAGUUGC
rnacentral:lncRNA from 1 species